GAAUAUUUGGCCCAUGAGGGCAUAUUUGUCUAUUUUCUUUAUUAUUUUCUGAAUAGUAGCAAUAAGGGCAAUAUUGUAAUUCUUGGCCUUUUGGCUUUAUUAUAAAUAGAUAGCUUGGGGUCACAUUGACCUAACCAAGCAUUCGGUUUAGUUUUUUCUCUCAACAUAUAUAUUUAACAAUUUGGAGAUCCCGA